ACUUUUGACGUGUCACUACCUCUUAUCUUAUAUGUGCUUCCACAUGGGAACUAACUAGAUGCGUGACUGCUUGCUUGACUGGAUUUGCGUUUUCCAGCCCGAUUUCCAAGUUAAGUGUCCUUCCUUGCUCUUUGGGUAGCAGGGGUAGUUCUUGCUUACCCUCAGGAGUUGAUCAGCCCUGCCCUUGCGAGAUAACAUUUGCACAUGUCUUCUUGCACAGUGUCUGUGUUAUUUGACUUGUUGGUGUAUGUGCUUGUUUAUUACGAAUUUGUUGCGUUUGACUUCUCACUAUUUCUUGACCUCCACAUUUUGUGUUUCAACGUAGACACUGACUGGAUGUGUAACUGCUUGGCUAACCGCAUGUGCGACUGCCGGCCCGAUUUCCAAAUUAAAUGUCCUUCCUUGUUUGUUGGGUAGCAGGGGUAGUUCUUGCUACCCUCAGGAGUUGAUCGGCCCUGCAUUUGCGAGAUGGCAUUUGCACAUGUUCUUGUUGCACACUGUCUGUGUUAUGUGACUCGUUGUUGUUUGUCCUUGCCUUGUUUAUCAUGAAUUUGUUGCUUUUGACCUGUCACUAACUCUUAUCUUCUACAGUUUGUGCUUCCACCUAGGUACUGACUGGAUUGAUGACUACUUGGCCGACUGUAUGUGCGACCGCCUGUCCGAUUUCCAAAAACUGACUGGAUGUGUGACUCCUUGGCUUACUGGAUAUGCAACUGCUGCCCCAUUUUGCCAGUUAAGUGUGCUGCCUUGUUUGUUGGGUAGCUGGUGUAGUUCUUGCUACCCUCAGGAGUCGAUGAACCCUGCCCUAGGGAGAUCAUGUUUGCACUUUGUCUUGUUGCAAACUCUGUUUAUGUUACUCGUUGGUUUAUGUUGUUGAUUUGUUUAUCAUGAAUUUCUUGGUUUUAACCUAUCGCUAACUCUUAUCUUCAGCAUUUUGUGUUUCCACAAAGGUAAUGACUGGAUGUGUGACUGCUUGCCUGACUGGAUAUGCAACUGCUGCCCCAUUUUGGCAGUUUAGUGUGCUUCCUUGUUUGUUGGGCAGCAGGGGUAGUUCUUGCUACUCUCAGGAGUUGAUCGGCCCUGCCAUUGCGAGAUCGCGUUUGCACAUGAUAUGUUCUGUUGCACACUGUCUGUGUUAUGCGAUUCGUUGGUUUAUGUUGUAUAAAUAAAUAAAUUUGUUGGUUUUGACCUGUCACUCUUAUCUUUUACCUUUUGUGCUUCCACGUAGCUACUGGCUAGAUUGGUGACGACUUGGCUGACUGGAUGUGCGACUGCUGGUCCGAUUUCCAAGUUAAGUGUCGUUCCUUACUCUUUGGAUAGCAGGGUAGUUCUUGCUACCCUCAUCAGGAGGUGAUGGGUCCUGCCCUUGCAAGAUCACGUUUGCACAUGUCCUGUUUCACACUCUCUGUGUAAUGUGAUUCACUGGUGAAUGUACUUGUUUUGUUUCUCACAAAUUUGUAGCUUUCGAGCUGUAGCUAACUCU